AAAUUGAAGAGUUUGAUCAUGGCUCAGAUUGAACGCUGGCGGCAGGCCUAACACAUGCAAGUCGAACGGUAACAGGAAGCAGCUUGCUGCUUCGCUGACGAGUGGCGGACGGGUGAGUAAUGUCUGGGAAACUGCCUGAUGGAGGGGGAUAACUACUGGAAACGGUAGCUAAUACCGCAUAAUGUCGCAAGACCAAAGAGGGGGACCUUCGGGCCUCUUGCCAUCGGAUGUGCCCAGAUGGGAUUAGCUUGUUGGUGGGGUAACGGCUCACCAAGGCGACGAUCCCUAGCUGGUCUGAGAGGAUGACCAGCCACACUGGAACUGAGACACGGUCCAGACUCCUACGGGAGGCAGCAGUGGG
rnacentral:rRNA from 1 species